GUGGCCAGCAGCCGCGGUAAUACCGGCAGCCCAAGUGAUGGCCGCUGUUAUUGGGCCUAAAGCGUCCGUAGCUGGCCGCACAAGUCCGUCGGGAAAUCCGCCCGCUCAACGGGCGGCCGUCCGGCGGAACCUGUGUGGCUUGGGACCGGGAGGCCUGAGGGGUACGAUCGGGGUAGGAGUGAAAUCCCGUAAUCCCGAACGGACCACCGAUGGCGAAAGCAUCUCGAGAAAACGGAUCCGACAGUGAGGGACGAAAGCUAGGGUCUCGAACCGGAUUAGAAACCCUGGUAGUCC
rnacentral:rRNA from 1 species